GACGAAGGAUUCAAGCGUUGUCCGGAUUUACUGGGUUUAAAGGGUGCGUAGGCGGAAAGCUAAGUCAGUGGUGAAGGCCCGCAGCUCAACUGCGGAACUGCCAUUGAAACUGGCCUUCUUGAAUACAGUGGAGGUAGAUGGAAUAUAACAUGUAGCGGUGAAAUGCUUAGAUAUGUUAUAGAACACCGAUUGCGAAGGCAGUCUGCUACACUGUCAUUGACGCUGAGGCACGAAAGCGUGGGGGAGCGAACA
rnacentral:rRNA from 1 species